UAGUGGCGCACGGGUGCGUAACACGUAUGCAACCUACCUAUUAUUGGGGGAUAGCCUUUGGAAACGGAGAUUAAUACCGCAUAAUACGAUUGACUGGCAUCGGUUGAUUGUUAAAGCUUAGGCGAUAAUAGAUGGGCAUGCGUCCAAUUAGUUAGUUGGUUAGGUAACGGCUGACCAAGACGAUGAUUGGUAGGGGAUCUGAGAGGAUAAUCCCCCACACUGGCACUGAGAUACGGGCCAGACUCCUACGGGAGGCAGCAGUAGGGAAUAUUGGGCAAUGGGCGGAAGCCUGACCCAGCCAUGCCGCGUGCAGGAAGAAGGCGUUAUGCGUUGUAAACUGCUUUUUUAUAGGAAGAAGGAUCCCUUGCGAGGGAAGGUGACGGUACUAUAAGAAUAAGCACCGGCUAACUCCGUGCCAGCAGCCGCGGUAAUACGGAGGGUGCAAGCGUUGUCCGGAUUUAUUGGGUUUAAAGGGUGCGUAGGCGGUUUAUUAAGUCAGUGGUGAAAGACGGUCGCUCAACGAUUGCAGUGCCAUUGAUACUGGUAGACUUGAGUGAGAUUGAGGUAGCUGGAAUGGAUAGUGUAGCGGUGAAAUGCAUAGAUAUUACAUGGAAUACCAAUUGCGAAGGCAGGUUACUACUAAUAUAUUGACGCUGAUGGACGAAAGCGUGGGUAGCGAACAGGAUUAGAUACCCUGGUAGUCCACGCCGUAAACGAUGGAUACUAGCUGUUGGGAGCAAUCUCAGUGGCUAAGCGAAAGUGAUAAGUAUCCCACCUGGGGAGUACGU
rnacentral:rRNA from 1 species